AAAUGUGAUCAAAUUACCAAAGUAAUUUCGACAAUUGGUAAACGCAAUUGAAAAAGUAGGCGAAAAAAACAUUUUUGUGUUUUCAUUCGUAAGACAAUUUUGCUAAAUGUCACCAAGCAGACAGUUGCACAGUAGCGUGAUAAUUGCUGCGUAGACUAUUUUGCCUUUAAAAGCUGCAGCAAACAAGCGGAGAAGGCGGAAUGUGAAAUACCUACCCCACAUAAAAGCUUCUCGAAGACAGAGUUGUUACCGACAGCGUUGGCUUUAACUACAGUUAGUUUGAAAAUUCGUCAGGGGAGAUAAAUUGUUGGUUUUGGUGCUCAUUUGCGUUCAUAUACAAUUUAAACAAGUGAUCAGUAGAACAGUUUUUGUCUAGCUGAAGCCAUUUCUCUGUAGUUCCAUCACUUUCCCAGAUCCACGCGAGAACUUCUUUGAAAUUAGAAGGCCAGUUGGAUGGCUUUCUUCGAGAGAAUGGACAUGACUGACCUCGACAACCAACAAUGAUCCAUCGGCCAAGAAUGCGUACACAGACAGAGAAAAAUUAUUUACAUAUAUGCAACGUCACCUGCCACUUUCUUCAUAUUGCUAGCUGGUUGCUGCAUGCCAUCCUGCUUUGUUGGUAAUGUACAGUAUGUAUGUAA